rnacentral:rRNA from 1 species
GAGGCUUAACACAUGCAAGUCGAGGGGCAGCAUGGUCUUUGCUUGCUAAGGCCGAUGGCGACCGGCGCACGGGUGAGUAACACGUAUCCAACCUGCCGUCUACUCUUGGACAGCCUUCUGAAAGGAAGAUUAAUACAAGAUGGCAUCAUGAGUCCGCAUGUUCACAUGAUUAAAGGUAUUCCGGUAGACGAUGGGGAUGCGUUCCAUUAGAUAGUAGGCGGGGUAACGGCCCACCUAGUCUUCGAUGGAUAGGGGUUCUGAGAGGAAGGUCCCCCACAUUGGAACUGAGACACGGUCCAAACUCCUACGGGAGGCAGCAGUGAGGAAUAUUGGUCAAUGGGCGAGAGCCUGAACCAGCCAAGUAGCGUGAAGGAUGACUGCCCUAUGGGUUGUAAACUUCUUUUAUAAAGGAAUAAAGUCGGGUAUGGAUACCCGUUUGCAUGUACUUUAUGAAUAAGGAUCGGCUAACUCCGUGCCAGCAGCCGCGGUAAUACGGAGGAUCCGAGCGUUAUCCGGAUUUAUUGGGUUUAAAGGGAGCGUAGAUGGAUGUUUAAGUCAGUUGUGAAAGUUUGCGGCUCAACCGUAAAAUUGCAGUUGAUACUGGAUAUCUUGAGUGCAGUUGAGGCAGGCGGAAUUCGUGGUGUAGCGGUGAAAUGCUUAGAUAUCACGAAGAACUCCGAUUGCGAAGGCAGCCUGCUAAGCUGCAACUGACAUUGAGGCUCGAAAGUGUGGGUAUCAAACAGGAUUAGAUACCCUGGUAGUCCACACGGUAAACGAUGAAUACUCGCUGUUUGCGAUAUACUGCAAGCGGCCAAGCGAAAGCGUUAAGUAUUCCACCUGGGGAGUACGCCGGCAACGGUGAAACUCAAAGGAAUUGACGGGGGCCCGCACAAGCGGAGGAACAUGUGGUUUAAUUCGAUGAUACGCGAGGAACCUUACCCGGGCUUAAAUUGCAGAUGAAUUACGGUGAAAGCCGUAAGCCGCAAGGCAUCUGUGAAGGCGCUGCAUGGUUGUCGUCAGCUCGUGCCGUGAGGUGUCGGCUUAAGUGCCAUAACGAGCGCAACCCUUGUUGUCAGUUACUAACAGGUUCCGCUGAGGACUCUGACAAGACUGCCAUCGUAAGAUGUGAGGAAGGUGGGGAUGACGUCAAAUCAGCACGGCCCUUACGUCCGGGGCUACACACGUGUUACAAUGGGGGGUACAGAGGGCCGCUACCACGCGAGUGGAUGCCAAUCCCCAAAACCUCUCUCAGUUCGGACUGGAGUCUGCAACCCGACUCCACGAAGCUGGAUUCGCUAGUAAUCGCGCAUCAGCCACGGCGCGGUGAAUACGUUCCCGGGCCUUGUACACACCGCCCGUCAAGCCAUGGGAGCCGGGGGUACCUGAAGUGCGUAAUCGCGAGGAGCGCCCUAGGGUAAAACUGGUGAC